rnacentral:rRNA from 1 species
UACAGAGGGUGCGAGCGUUAAUCGGAAUUACUGGGCGUAAAGCGUGCGUAGACGGUUAUUUAAGUCGGGUGUGAAAGCCCCGGGCUCAACCUGGGAAUUGCAUUCGAGACUGAAUAGCUAGGGUACGGUAGAGGGAAGUGGAAUUUCCGGUGUAGCGGUGAAAUGCGUAGAUAUCGGAAGGAACAUCAGUGGCGAAAGCGACUUCCUGGACCAGUACCGACGUUCAGGCACGAAAGCGUGGGGAGCGAACAGG